GGGCUAGGAGCCUUUACCAUGGAAGAUUUUUUACCACGGAGGAUGGCAAAAGUGGACUCGGCUCCAUGAAUGUUUCCAACCUUUCAGGAAACGAUACAUCCCCAUUUGAAGUCAUGACGCUCAUGUAUCAAGAAAAAAAUUGCAGCGUGUUCUUUGUAACCCCCCUGGAAAAUAACACUCAGACAGGCUGUGAACUCUACGUCCGAAACAAGGCACUUUCGCACGGGCCCACAGAAAACUGUACAAAAUAUUACAACAAGCAUUGUAACAAAACGAUUGAUGUGUACGUCGUAGGGUGUGAAAAUGCACCGAUAAUGGUGUAGAAG